AAACCUUAUUAUAAUUAAAAGCUUGGAGCUAAGGCCGUCCUUCUCCUCGCCUGCCGACGACAUCGCGAGGUGAGGCCGUUCUUGUCGGAGCAGCGCUGUUCGCAGAGCCGGAGCGAUGUCUUACGAUUUCCCGACCGCCUUCCCAACGGUCCGAGCGAUCAAAAUCUCGUAUUCGGAGCUCAAGGAGAAGGAGGAGGAUUUGUCUGCCAAGAUCGAAGAAGGGUUCGGCCCGAGUGGGCUUGGCCUCGUCUCAAUCUCUGAUGUUCCUGGUUAUGCUCUGUUACGUCAAAAUCUUCUAUGUCUUUCAGCCAGAUUAACAAGCCUGCCUGAAGAUGUAAAGGAAGGUCUUGAAGACCCAGUUAGCAGAUACAAUGUAGGAUGGAGUUUUGGAAAAGAGAAGCUGAAAACAGGCAAGCAUGAUACCUUCAAAUGCUCUUUCUACGCUAAUCCUGUGGUAGACGUACCUGCAACUGAUUCUUCCCUUAUGAAAAGGUACCCAUUAUACUGUCGACCAAAUAGAUGGCCUACCAAUGCUUUGCCUGAACUUGAAAUAGCAUUCAAGUCUCUCGGCAAAUUGAUGCUGGAUGUUGGGCUUCUAUUGGCAUAUCACUGCAGUCGAUAUGUAUCAAAAGGUGCAAAAAUGCAUGGCAAUGAAGACUUUGAGCACAUACUACAACGUUCAAGAUGCCACAAAGGUCGUUUGCUGUAUUACCUUCCAGUUCAACAGAGUGAAUUUAAGGAAGGUGCUUGCUCCAUGUCAUCAUGGUCUGACUGGCAUACUGAUUUUUGUCAUCUCACAGGUCUUACCAGUGGCAUGUAUAUGAGAAAUAAUGAAAAGAUCACUUGCCCAGAUAGUGCUGCUGGCCUUUAUAUUAGAAUGCGAAAUGAUCAGAUUGUCAGAGUUGUCUUUGGAGAAGAUGAAAUAGCAUAUCAAAUUUCUGACACUGCAGAUGUACUAUCAAGAGGUCGUCUCUGUGCAACUCCACAUUCUGUUCAGUUGUUGGAUAGGCACCUAAAGGAGAAAAGGCUUAUGGGGUUGGACGCUCAACUUUUGUCUUGUUUAUCCAACCUGACUGGGAUGAGAUUCUUAACUUUCCUGAAGAGAUACCUCAUCAUCUGAAGGUCUGUUUCUGAGACAGUGGAUAUCCUUUGUAGAUAGCCUGAGUGCACGUCGCACAGGGAAAGCUGGAUUUCGGCAAAGGGUAGAAGUAUGUGUUCUCGACAAGUCAAAUCCACUGCAACAGGGGAAAGGCAGGUCCACUAUCGCACGUGUGGCGGUGGAGAUGGAUCCCUAAACCGCAUCUGCAGCGCGCCAUAGAUUUGUUGUCGAUUCGGAUGGUGCCGCGUUGUUCUUGUGUCAAAAGAGAUGGUAAGGGACGCCGCACCAAUUUGGCCCCAUGGACGCAAAGCAUGAGGGGAAUCUACUCGGAGACCCACCACCUUUGUGGCGUGGCAGCCACUCUAGUGGCUUUUACAGGACUGCGGUCUUCGCUGGCUGGAGUACGAUGUCUCAUUCAUUCAUCGGUGUAAUCUAGCCGAGCUGAGCCGAAUAGCCAAAAGCUUUUGAGCUCGACUUGAUUCAAAAGACUUGGAUUCGAAAUUUGGCUCGAAAUUGAUCAAGCUUUAAUAUCAAACUCGAAUUCGACUCUA